UACGGAAGGCAGCAGUGGGGAAUAUUGCACAAUGGGCGCAAGCCUGAUGCAGCCAUGCCGCGUGUAUGAAGAAGGCCUUCGGGUUGUAAAGUACUUUCAGUCGUGAGGAAGGUGUUAAGGUUAAUAACCUUAGCAAUUGACGUUAGCGACAGAAGAAGCACCGGCUAACUCCGUGCCAGCAGCCGCGGUAAUACGGAGGGUGCGAGCGUUAAUCGGAAUUACUGGGCGUAAAGCGCGCGUAGGUGGCUUGAUAAGCCGGUUGUGAAAGCCCCGGGCUCAACCUGGGAACGGCAUCCGGAACUGUCAGGCUAGAGUGCAGGAGAGGAAGGUAGAAUUCCCGGUGUAGCGGUGAAAUGCGUAGAGAUCGGGAGGAAUACCAGUGGCGAAGGCGGGCCUUCUGGGACUGACACUGACACUGAGGUGCGAAAGCGUGGGUAGCAAACAGGGAUUAGAUAACC
rnacentral:rRNA from 1 species